GGAGAGAUGGCUGAGUGGUCGAAAGCGGCAGAUUGCUAAUCUGUUGUAUUAAGUUUAAUACCGAGGGUUCGAAUCCCUCUCUCUCCU
rnacentral:tRNA from 1 species